rnacentral:lncRNA from 1 species
ACCCCCCUCCCACCUCCCUCCCCAUCCCAUCCCUCUUUGAAAUGUGCCUUCUCCUGUUCAGCCUAUGCUCUCCAACCUCUAGGGGGCGCUCAGGUCUUCUUCUACCAGGCCUCCUCUAUCCACAAGGGAAAGAUAGAGAAGGUCUCCAGGGAGAGCCAGCUGCCCAAUGAGGUGUCAAGGGCUGGGCUGCUGCUAAGUCGUGCCCAGCUCUUUGUGACCCUUCAGACUGUGGCCUGCCAGGCUCCUCUGUCCAUGGGAUUUUCUAGGCAAGAAAACUGGAGUAGGUUGCCAUUUCCUUCUUCAGGAGAUCUUCCUGACCCAGGGAUCAAACCCGCAUCUUCUGCAUUGGCAGGCAGAUUCUUUACCACUAUGCCACCAGGUAAACCCCAAUCAAUGUAACAGCAACAAAUAAAUUUAAGAAAACAAAAAUACUUAGUAAUAACA